rnacentral:lncRNA from 1 species
UGCUGCUUUGUUCUGAGUGUUUGUCCCUCACAUAGAAUUCCAGAACACUGCCACUCGGUACUGAGGGUUUGUCCCUUACAUAGAAUUCUAGAACUCUGCAGCUCAUUUCUGAGUGUUUGUCCCUCACUUAGGAUUCCAGAACAAUGCUACGAUUGUCUGAAUGUUUGUUCCUUAACAAGUAUUCCACAACACUGCUGCUGGGUUCUGAGUGUUUGGCACUCACAUUGGUUUCCAGAACACUGCUACGAGGGUCUGAAUGUCCCGCACAUAGGAUUCCAGAACACUGCUAAGAGGGUCUGAAUGUUUUUCCCUCAGAAAGGAUUCCAGAACCCUGCUACUGGAUUCUGUUUGUUUGUCCCUUACAAAGGAUUUCAGAGCACUGCUCCUGGUUGCUGACUGUUUGUCCCUCACAUAGGAUUCCAGAACACUUCUGCAAGUGUCUGAAUGUUUGUCCCUCAGAUAGGAUUCCAGAAGACAGUGGAUGGGUUCUGGGUAUUUGUCCAUCACAUAGGAUUCCAGAACACUGCUGCUGGGUUCUGAGUGUUUGUCCCUCACAUAAGGUUUCAGAACACUGCUGUUGUGUUCUGAGUGUUUGUCCCUCACAGAGGAUUCCAGAACACUGCUCCUGGGUUCUGAGUUUUUGUCCCUCAUAUAGGAUUCUGGAACACUGCUACGAGGG